GACGAACGCUGGCGGCAUGAUUAACACAUGCAAGUCGAACGAGACCUUCGGGUCUAGUGGCGCACGGGUGCGUAACGCGUGGGAAGCUGCCCUUAGGUACGGAAUAACUCAGAGAAAUUUGUGCUAAUACCGUAUGAUGUCGAACGACGAAAGAUUUAUCGCCUAAGGAUGAGACCGCGUAAGAUUAGCUUGUUGGUGAGGUAAAAGCUCACCAAGGCGACGAUCUUUAGCUGGUCUGAGAGGAUGAUCAGCCACACUGGGACUGAGACACGGCCCAGACUCCUACGGGAGGAAGCAGUGGGGAAUAUUGGACAAUGGGCGAAAGCCUGAUCAAGCAAUGCCGCGUGAGUGAUGAAGGCCUUAGGGUUGUAAAGCUCUUUUACCAGGGAUGAUAAUGACAGUACCUGGAGAAUAAGCUCCGGCUAACUCCGUGCCAGCAGCCGCGGUAA
rnacentral:rRNA from 1 species